rnacentral:rRNA from 1 species
GAUGAACGCUGGCGGCGUGCCUAAUACAUGCAAGUCGAGCGAACAGACGAGGAGCUUGCUCCUCUGACGUUAGCGGCGGACGGGUGAGUAACACGUGGAUAACCUACCUAUAAGACUGGGAUAACUUCGGGAAACCGGAGCUAAUACCGGAUAAUAUAUUGAACCGCAUGGUUCAAUAGUGAAAGACGGUUUUGCUGUCACUUAUAGAUGGAUCCGCGCCGCAUUAGCUAGUUGGUAAGGUAACGGCUUACCAAGGCAACGAUGCGUAGCCGACCUGAGAGGAGGAUCGGCCACACUGGAACUGAGACACGGUCCAGACUCCUACGGGAGGCAGCAGUAGGGAAUCUUCCGCAAUGGGCGAAAGCUUGACGGAGCAACGCCGCGUGAGUGAUGAAGGUCUUCGGAUCGUAAAACUCUGUUAUUAGGGAAGAACAAAUGUGUAAGUAACUAUGCACGUCUUGACGGUACCUAAUCAGAAAGCCACGGCUAACUACGUG